rnacentral:lncRNA from 1 species
GCGAGGAAGGAAUUUCUGAUGUCUUGUAUAAACCGUCUUCUGACCAUGCUUCAAUUGAAGGUAACUAGUGUUUUCUUCACAAAUCGAACAUGCAAAAUGUCCUUUAACACUAUAACCGCUCAAGUUUCCAUAGGCUGGAAAAUCAUUUAUAGUGCAAAACAACAUUGCACGCAAAUGGAAAUUCUCUUCAACAUCUGAAUCAAACACUUCAACAUCUUCUUCCC